rnacentral:rRNA from 1 species
AUACCCUAUUAUUUUUAAUGUAAAAUGAUUAGAACUGGAGUAUUAGUAGUUAAGGUCUUAAAACUUAAAGAAUUUGACGGUAUUAUAGUCUAUUUAGAGGAAUCUGUUAUGUAAUCGAUAAUCCACGCUGAACCUUACUUAUAUAACUUCUUGUAUAUCGCUGUUUAUGAUUAUAUUAUAAGGUAAUUUUCUGAAUAUAAAAUUAAUUGAUAUUUCAAGUCAAGGUGCAGUAAAUAUAUAAGAUGAAUAAUGGAUUACAAUAAAGUGUAUUUAUAUGGAUAAUAUAUUAAACUAAAAUUGAAGGAGGAUUUAAUAGUAAAUUCAAAAAGAUUAUUGGAUUGAUUUAGCUCUAUAAUAUGUACACAUCGC